CAUGCCCAUAUAUGUAUAGUUAUAUAAGUACUGUUUAAAGGACUUAGGAAGGCUAGUUCACUUUAUUUCCUUUUCCUCGUUGGGAUGUGGCUUUAGGGUAUCGGUUAGUCGUCCGAAUGUCGUCUAAAUAUUAGUUAUAUACCAUGUAUACAUAUAUAGACAUAAAAGUUUACACAGUCAGUUCAGUACCUUUGGGUAGCAAAGGCAUACUUUCGGUUAUACACGUACAUUAUUAGUAACUAUUAUAGGUAUAGUUAGGAGAUACUACUUACCAUUCCAAGUACAAGGAAUCACACAAGAGUCAAUUCAUUCAUGAGUCUAUGCUAUUACAUUACAUGUUACAUGAAUACAUUUACAUAGAUACGUUUACAUAGAUACCCUUACAUGGAUACCCUUACAUGGAUACUCUUACAUGGAUACUCUUACAUGGAUACUUUUACAUGGAUACACUUACAUGGAUACUUUUAUGUAGAUACUAUAUGAUGAGAUACUAUUACAUAUUAUAUGUAUAGAUACUAUUAUAUAUAAUUCUCCUUCUUAUUUUAUUUUGUGAUACAUUCACAUAAUUGAUGAGAUAGACUGGACUUAAUAUCCUAGUACCAAAGGAUACUUUAAGGGACUAACCAUUCCUACACCCAGCUGUUAGCCACAGAGGUAAAUGCACACCCACGGAUGUCUACGGUUGAUACCAUUAUAGGUAUACUUUAAGGGACUAACUAUUCCUACACCCAGCUAUUAGCUACAGAGGUAAAUGUACAUCAACGGAUGUCUACAGUUAAUGCUAUUAGUUAUCCUAGUAUAAAAGGAUAAUACUUAAGUUAUUUACAUUAUUACCUUUAUCUUGUGACACAUUCACAUAACUGAUGAGGUAAAUUAUGUUUGAGUAUCCUAGUACCAAAGGAUACAAUUUCGUAUAUUAAUAAUAAUAGUCAUACAGUUGGGUCUUGGUAGAAGGCUACUUUCAAAAUAGUCGGGUCUUGGUAGAAUGCUACUUUCAAAACAGUCGGGUCUUGGUAGAAGGAUACUUUCAAAACAUUCGGGUCUUGGUAGAAGGCUACUUUCAAAACAUUCGGGUCUUGGUUGAAGGCUACUUCUAAAACAGUCAAGUCUUGGUAGAAGACUACUUUUUAUAGUAGUAGAAAUCAUAGGGAAUUUCUAGGGUUCUCAAACGUUAUUCGACUACUUACAAACAUUUUCAUACUUAUACAAACAUUUCUCCAAAUGUUUACAAGUCUUUACUUUCCAGUUUUACAAAUCAAAGACACAUUAAUACUUAUGAAUUCACCAGCUUUUUGGCUGAUAUUCACUUUCAAAAUAACUUGUAUUCUCUGGUCACAUAUAGACAGGUACGACGACCAGUUUAUGUGAAGACGAAGCAGUCGAGACUCAUCUUUUAUUUUGAACAUUCAUUAUGUUGUUUAUUAUAUGAAAGAAUACACUUGUAAUCAAAAUUAUACUAUUAAUGAAAUGGAUGAUGUUGUUGCUUGUUUACUACUUUGUAUUGUUGUGAUACUUGACAUGACGUCCUUCGCCCCAGAACGUUUCCGUCGUUCCUAGUUUUUGGGUGUGACGGAUUGGUAUUAGAGCAUUGUUUAUAGUGAAUUGAGUAUAUCAACCCAUAAAAGAUAUACAGAAUAUAAAUACAUUGGGAUUAAAAUACUCUGACCAAGAGUUUAUACUUUAAAUAAUAAAAUAUUUAAUUAAGUAUACGUGCCUGCAUUCAUACUAAAAUCGGUGUCACUAGGACAAUACAAAAGAAUUACGAUCGUUGGGAAACACAAGUGGACUUAGAGACAUAUAGUCAAAACUGGAAGAUAUAGCCUGAUCAACUAUAUUAUCCGAGGUUGACUAGCAUGUGCCUAAGUGUAGUUGUGAGGUUGCAACAAGUCUAAAAUCUUACCAACAAUACCACAAUGAGAACAAUAGAACAUAAACCUAAAAUACUACAGGAGUAUUUUGUGUUACUAUAAGCUACUUAUGUGCUAGAUUCUCAUAUCCCUUUUCUCGCGUAGAUAAUAUGGUUAGAUUCCAUCCCUACGACAACUUGUACUUACGUAAUCAAGGUAAUGAAGGCGGUUUUGAAGCUGAUCCAGGAAAUGACCACCCAAUCCCUGAGGAUGGUCAUAAGGAUGAAGGCUUAGGAGAGGGUUCCGACCCCGAGCCUGAAGUAGAGAAUCUACCCCCGAUGGCUCUUGUUCCAAAUCCUAACCCUCGUCUGGCUUUUCAAUGCCCGACGCCCCCGUGAGUGGAAAGCUUGGAAACAUGGAGCCAAGGACAGGAUCAGCCCAUGCCAUUCAAUAGAGACCGAAGCUUUUAUGACCUGAGCCAUGGGGGCUCAGUAGACAGAGUCUUGCGAAUCCUGGUCUGCAGAGUGGCCUGAAAUGAGAUUCAAGGCAGGACAGCCCUACAUCAGAUCACAGAAGUUGUCCCCAAUGCGAGAAUGCAUACCCUCUGCACCAUUCGUUUGGAAGAUGCUCGUGAGAGAUCUGAGAGAGACCACGAAACCCUGCUUCAAGCACUGGCUGAAUCACAAGCCGAAGUCAUAGAACUCUGAGUACGCCAUAGGGUGUACAAAAGACACCUGCUUGAUGUGGAACGUCAACUGGCUGAACUAAGGGUUCACCAGAGGGAUGACCGUCACCGGUAGCNGCCUUACUUUAUUUCCCUAUUGAAAGGAAUCGUUUUUCCUAUCUAUGUCCUAUGUGACAUUUUUCUAUGAAACUAUCUUGUACUGUAGGUACUUUUAGUUAGGCUUUCAUGCAGCCAAAACCUUUCUACUCUGGAUAUGAUGUAAGACCUUCUACCAGGUCAAUUUUUCCCGAACUUAUUUCAUCAUGAAUAUCAAAGAUGUUGACAGUCAGCUACCUUCUGUGUCAUUCUUUAUUCAAAUAUUUUCAUCAUGCUAUCAUGGGAGUCUAUUUGAAACCCACUCUAGUCGAGUUAUUGAACUAGGGUAAUUUAGCUCAGGGAUCAUCCCUAAUUCUUUUUCAAGGGUUGGAUCAUGUUAUUUACCAACCGAUGGUACCUUGUUUUAAACGUCAAGCGUCUUAAGACCAUUUUACGAACUUACUACCACUCUUUACUAGGACUACAUCAUAGGGAUGUUGGUAAAACCUUUGUGAACAUACUUCCAAUCCGUACUAGGACUGGAUGUAGGUCAAACCUUUGAGAACAUAUUCUUACUCUUUACUUGAGCGAUCGAAGUACAUCUAGGGUCAACCAAAAUCGCUCACAAAAUCCUUAUCUUUCAUAUUACAGAAUCAUGUCGUCAUCCGGAAACAGUCAUCCAAGCGACGAAACCCCUGCCUUUCCUAUGGACACUGCUACUUUCCAAGCCGCAGUUACAGUUGCCGUGAUGGUUGUCGUGACAGCUGUCCUUGCAAACCGUAGCACUAUCAACGCAAGCAAUGCUGACAAAGGGGUUGAAAAUCUCAAUCGUAGUAUCAAUCCGGGAAGUCAUCAAAUGAUAACAGUUGCAGACUCGCAAAACUGUAAAACAGAGAACAAGAAACGAAAGCGUCAAGCCCAAAAGGAACGCAAGCAAUAUGAGGGAACACUCCCGAAGUGUAACAAGUGUAGCUAUCAUCAUAAUGGAGCAUGUCGGGUAUUGCAAUGUAUCAAUUGCAAUAGACUGGGACACAUUGCCCGUUUCUGUAGAACCACCCCCACCACUAGAGCCAGCCAGGGUUGCUAUAAUUUUGGUGAGACUGGACACUAUAAAAGGAAUUGCCCAAAAAGGAAGAAAAUCGAAAGCACCCGCAUCCAUGUAACUCCGACCCAACACAUCACUUACACCACCAAUGCUAGUACCAGCCAGAUAUGUCACCAAUGUGGUGAAAUUGGGCACCUUAAAAAGGAUUGUCCAAUAACAAAGAACUCCGACGCAGACGGCAGAAUUCUAAGGAUCACUACCGCAGGAGAGACUACUCCGGACCCACGUUAAUGUAAUUAAGGCAUUUCGUUGUAACAGACUUAUAAACUGUUCAAAACUAGUGCAACUAGAGUCUUAUCUUUUGCGAGAUCCCAUUGGUAAAAGGAUGCUCGUGCUGUGUAUACUUGUCUUUUGUAGUAUACCUUGUUCGCAGCAAUAGUCUUGUAGUAAAUCUAAUGUACUGUAACUCUGUUAAAGGUUGCACUGGUGUGUUUUUUCUGUAACGCCUUAUGUUCAAAUCUAAUGUCUUUAGUCCCCAUAUGAUUCCGACAUUAUCAUACAACUAGAUUCAAUUUGAUUCGCAAUACCAGUUCCAUACGUACAUCUCUUUCUCCGAAAUUGCCUUUCCAGCGAAGCAGUCAUACCAGAAUAUCGAAGUACUCAUGCAUGGAGUACCUCAUGUUUCUUAUCCUUUCCGAUGGAACCUCAAAAAACCUCCCCGAAGUACCACUCGUACAGUAUGUCAAGUUCAAUACAAGGACUCUUACGGUUAAUCUAUCCAUGAAGGAUGUAUACACAAGGGUGGCAUAUAAUCAAGGUUCUAUAGAUUUAGAAUUAAUGAUUCCCCUUUAACUUCUUUUCCUCGUUGGGAUGUGAGCUUAAAGAAGAAUCAUUUAUUCGACUAUCUUUUCAAUCUUAAUUAUAUACGACUCGUAUACAUGAGAUGGUGAUCGUUGAACCAUGUAUGAAUUCUAAUAUGAACUUCAGGACGGAGACUGCCCAAGACUACAAGUAAUCGCAUCGUCAUGUGAACAAACUUAGAACCCAAUACGACUCCUAUAACCAGAUCGCCCUACAGUCUAAAAACCCACAGAGAGACAAGAGCAGUCCAGACAACUUAGCAAACUACUCGGCAAAAGAAUAGGAAGACCAAGCUUCUCGCCCUGGAGAACUCUGGUCUUAUUCUUCAAAAAGGUGGACGAAUAGUAUCAUAAGUACAUCGACUAUCAGAGACCUCGUCAAGAUUUCAAUUGGAAAUCAUUAUAUCUGCCUCGCAUGAAUGUGUGGGCUAAGCAAACAUGGGGAACGAAUUACCUUUAAGAAAUGGACCUAAAAUCUGAAUAUCACCAGUUUCGAGUGUUAGCGAAGGUUGUCCUGAAUGCGACCUUCCAAACUCGAUGCGGACACUAUGAGUCCGUAGUGAUACCCCGCAGAUAGGACCAAUACGCCGUAGUAUUCAGGAACUUAAUGAAUAGGGUAAGUUGUUCUUACUUGGAUCAGUUCGUCAUUGUCUUUGUAAAUAACUUACUUAUCUACUCUCGUAGUAAGAAGGAAAUCAUAAGGAGCACCUACAACAAACCAUGGAAACAAUGCGAUCAUGGAAACUUUGCGCGAAGUUCUCUAAAUACGAGUUUUGGAAUUGAAGAGUCAAAUUCCUAAGACACGCUAUUAGUGGUGUGGAUAUUCUUGAGGACCCUUUCAAUUUAUCAAGACCGUUGAGAAUUUUUCAGCACCGAAGGCGCCAACGGGAAUUCGCCAAAUUUUAGGUCUUGCAGACCUACUAUCGUAGUUCAUUUGGAACUCCUCGCAAAUUACGGAACCUCUUAUGACUUUGACCCAUAAGGGAGUGGCCCUUGACUGGGAAGAGGAGCAAGAGGGAGAAACCCUUGGAACUCCAGGUGAGAGGCCAAAUCCUUUUGGAAGUCUCACUCUGGGAAGGCUUAAUACACUUCGUAGAGCGUGGAAAGCUAGAUUCAAGAUAGUUAGGACCUCCGAGAUUCUUGCCAUAAUCGGCCCUAUAUCUCACAAACUCAAUCUACCUCGCGAGCUUAGAAACAUACAUUCUACCCUUCACGUCUCGAACUUGCAAAAAGUAUCGAUCUGACGAGACUCUUGAAAUCCCACUCGAAGAGAUCGAGUUCCACAAGAGCCUCACCUGCGUGGAAGAACCGCAGUGAUCAUGGACCGAGAGGCCAUGCGAACGAUUCAUAGCCGUUUCCCUUUAAGUGAAGGUUCGCUGGAAUGCCAACCAAGGACCUGAAUUCACUUGGGAGCGCGAGAAUCAAUCGAUUAGGAAGUAUCCCCAAUUUUUGGCUCGAUUAUUCAUGCUUACUUCCUUUACCUAAAUUCUAAUUUCGGGACAAAAUUCCUUCUAACGGGGGGAUGAUGUGACAACCCGAAAUUUCUAUUAUGUACAACCCUUCACUUCAAUAGAAGUCAAAACAGUUUCUGCAAACUCUCAAGCUUUUUGGAAUAAGUUUGAGUAUGUUAGGAUUAACACUUUAGGAGAUAUCAGGAGGGAGGAUGCUCUAGGGUUUAUUGUGCAAAAAUAGUACCCCAAAGCUUCAAGAGUUGGAUUUUAUGGCCGUAAACCCUAAAAGGGUGUAUAUAUUUGACACUUAGUCAUUAUUUACACUUUUUCAACAUUUCAAGAUCCAAAAUCCAAUUCUCUCUCAAGUAGCUUCGACUUUUGCUCCUAGAUCUUCAACUAGUAAGUGUUUCUAACCCUUUUAAGUUGGUAUAUCACUUAAUCUAGUGUUUUAACACACUUCCAUCCGUAAAAAUGUUCCAAAAGGCUAGAUCUUCAAGUUUCACCAAGAACACCGAGAACACACACUAGUCUUCUUGGCCUUUUGGUACCAAUUCAAGCCUUUAUCUAGUAAAUACUCCUACCCUAGUGUAUUGUAAAGCUUGUUACACUUUCAUACAUCAAGAAAACACCAUUGAAACCCAAGAUCAAAGGUGUUUACGGUCCAAGAACACCGUGGACCGUAAACCCUAAUUUAGGGGCCAAAGUGACCCUAGUCCCUUCACAAGCUUUGGAAACUAGUCUAGACUCAUUCCUUGAUAUGUUUAGGACUUGAAAACAUCAAAAUACCAUAAUACAUAAGGGUUUACGGUAGUAAACCCAAAAGGAAAUGGUCUUAGGGUCAUAAACUCCUCAAAGGAGGGAAAUGGUGCCCUAAUCUCUUCCAAAGGCUUAACCAUCAAGUAGAAAUGCUUCUAAAGGACUUGUAGAGCUUCAAAAACAACAAAUGGUCAAAAGAAAAAGAGUUUAUGGCCAUAAACUCAUGUGUUUACGACCGUAAACCCAUGGGGUUAUGGUCACAAAACCGUAAACUCCAAGGGAGUUUACCCUUGAACCCUAAACACAAUAGCAAGGUCCUACAGCACUUAGAUGCAAUCCUUAUGACUUGUAGCACUUAUAUAAGGUGUUUUACAUGUCUUAGGAUGUCUUAACUUUGUCAAUUAGUAGUUUAAAGACUAAUUGGAUACAUAUAUGUGUUAUUAUAUGUUAACUAGGAUCAUUGAGUGUGUACAAGUCUUCACUUGACACCUAGCAUCCUACCUUAUCCGUUCAUCCAAACCACCAACUAUAGGUGAGUUCAUACCCCUUAAUUAACCUUUUAAAUGUUCUGUAAAUGUCUAUAAAUGCUUUAUGGGGGGAUACAAGUUGAAUCAUAUUUAGUUAUUAUAUCAAUCACAUGUGAUUAAUAACUAGCAUGCAUAUGGAUUUGCUAUACAUUAACCAUUUUACCAGACAGAUUCCUUCAAAUGACUUUCUUAAACGUUUUUAUAUGUUUAAAACUCUUUAUUAAACUAUCUUACAUACUGUAUGUUUCCUUUUAAACUCUUUUACAACUGAGUUUCAAACAAAGGUCUUCCUUAUACUUAAACUGUCUUAUCAAACAAAAUACUUUCAAAUCGUUUUACAAACUGACAUCAAGUCGUCGUUUCUUAGUAUUAAACUUUUCAAAGGUUUUACAAAAANAUAUAUAUAUAUAUAUAGUUAUAUAAGUAAUGUUUAAAGGACUUAGGAAGGCUAGUUCACUUUAUUUCCUUUUCCUCAUUGGGAUGUGGCUUUAGGGUAUCGGUUAGUCGUCCGAAUGUCGUCUAAAUAUUAGUUAUAUACCAUGUAUACAUAUAUAGACAUAAAAGUUUACACAGUCAGUUCAGUACCUUUGGGUAGCAAAGGCAU
rnacentral:lncRNA from 1 species